rnacentral:rRNA from 1 species
GAUGAACGCUGGCGGCGUGCCUAAUACAUGCAAGUCGAGCGAACAGACGAGGAGCUUGCUCCUUUGACGUUAGCGGCGGACGGGUGAGUAACACGUGGGUAACCUACCUAUAAGACUGGGAUAACUUCGGGAAACCGGAGCUAAUACCGGAUAAUAUUUCGAACCGCAUGGUUCGAUAGUGAAAGAUGGCUUUGCUAUCACUUAUAGAUGGACCUGCGCCGUAUUAGCUAGUUGGUAAGGUAACGGCUUACCAAGGCAACGAUACGUAGCCGACCUGAGAGGGGGAAGGGCCAGAAGGGAACGGAGACGGGGGCGGGGCGACACGGGGAGGCACCUGAGAGGAAUGUUGGCAAAUGGGGGAAAGCUGAACGGGAAAAAGCGGCGAGAAGAAAGAGGGUUUUUUGAUGGUAAGAUUCGUUGAUAAGGGAAGAAGGAACGGGUAAUGAACAGUUCGCAACGUGAGGGUAUCUGAUCAGGAAGGCGCGGCUAAAUACGUG